GAUGAACGCUAGCUACAGGCUUAACACAUGCAAGUCGAGGGGAAACGAUAGAGAAAGCUUGCUUUUCUAGGCGUCGACCGGCGCACGGGUGAGUAACGCGUAUCCAACCUGCCCACCACUUGGGGAUAACCUUGCGAAAGUAAGACUAAUACCCAAUGACGUCUCUAGAAGACAUCUGAAAGAGAUUAAAGAUUUAUCGGUGAUGGAUGGGGAUGCGUCUGAUUAGCUUGUUGGCGGGGUAACGGCCCACCAAGGCGACGAUCAGUAGGGGUUCUGAGAGGAAGGUCCCCCACAUUGGAACUGAGACACGGUCCAAACUCCUACGGGAGGCAGCAGUGAGGAAUAUUGGUCAAUGGACGAGAGUCUGAACCAGCCAAGUAGCGUGCAGGAUGACGGCCCUAUGGGUUGUAAACUGCUUUUAUAAGGGAAUAAAGUGAGUCUCGUGAGACUUUUUGCAUGUACCUUAUGAAUAAGGACCGGCUAAUUCCGUGCCAGCAGCCGCGGU
rnacentral:rRNA from 1 species